AGGACUGCCGGUGUUAAGCCGGAGGAAGUGGGGAUGACGUCAAGUCCUCAUGGCCUUUAUGCCCAGGGCUACACACGUGCUACAAUGGGCGGUACAAAGAGAAGCAACCUCGCGAGGGUGAGCAAAUCUCAAAAAGCCGUUCUCAGUUCGGAUUGAAGUCUGCAACUCGACUUCAUGAAGUCGGAAUCGCUAGUAAUCGCGGAUCAGCAUGCCGCGGUGAAUACGUUCCCGGGCCUU
rnacentral:rRNA from 1 species